rnacentral:rRNA from 1 species
AUUGAACGCUGGCGGCAGGCCUAACACAUGCAAGUCGAACGAGCGGCGGACGGGUGAGUAAUGUCUGGGAAUCUGCCUGAUGGAGGGGGAUAACUACUGGAAACGGUUGCUAAUACCGCAUACCAUCGGAUGUACCCAGAUGGGAUUCGCUAGUAGGUGGGGUAAAGGCUCAACUAGGCGACGAUCCCUAGCUGGUCUGAGAGGAUGACCAGCCAUCCUGGUACUGGGACACGGUUCAGCUUCCUAAGGAAGGCAGUAGUGGGGAAGAUUGCACAAUGGGCGCAAGCCUGAUGCAGCCAUGCCGCGUGUAUGAAGAAGGCCUUCGGGUUGUAAAGUACUUUCAGCGGGGAGGCGUUACCCGCAGAAGAAGCACCGGAUAACUCCGUGCCAGCAGCCGCGGUAAUUC